rnacentral:rRNA from 1 species
UAGGGAAUCUUCCACAAUGGACGAAAGUCUGAUGGAGCAACGCCGCGUGAGUGAAGAAGGGUUUCGGCUCGUAAAACUCUGUUGUUAAAGAAGAACAUAUCUGAGAGUAACUGUUCAGGUAUUGACGGUAUUUAACCAGAAAGUCACGGCUAACUACGUGCCAU